CAAUAAGCGGAGGAAAAGAAACCAACAGGGAUUACCUCAGUAACGGCGAGUGAAGCGGUACAGCUCAAAUUUGAAAUCGGCCACCCGGUCGAGUUGUAAUUUGCAGAGGAUGCUUCGGCUUACGCCCCGGUCCAAGUCCGUUGGAACACGGCGUCGCAGAGGGUGAGAAUCCCGUUGCGGCCGGCGGCCACGCCAUGUGAAGCUCCUUCGACGAGUCGAGUUGUUUGGGAAUGCAGCUCAAAAUGGGAGGUAAAUUUCUUCUAAAGCUAAAUAUUGGCCCGAGACCGAUAGCGCACAAGUAGAGUGAUCGAAAGAUGAAAAGCAUCUUGGAAAGGAAUCGAACAGCACGUGAAAUUGUUGAAGGGGAAGCGCUCGCGGCGAGAGCCCGCGCGGUCGUUCACCGGGGCCUCGCGCCCCGGGCACGCGGCCGCGUCGGCCAGCAUCGGUUCGGGCGGCGGGAGAAACGCCGACGGCAUGUAGCUCCCCUCGGGGAGUGUUAUAGCCGCGGCGCAAUACCGCCCGCCUGGACCGUGGCACGCGCUCUCGCUCGGAUGCUGGCGUAAUCGCCGCGAGCGGCCCGUCUUGAAACACGGACC
rnacentral:sRNA from 1 species